rnacentral:guide_RNA from 1 species
ACUAACAAUGAUUGACUUAAUGGAUAGAUAAAUAGUGAUAUAAUGAU